UGGGGAAUAUUGCACAAUGGGCGCAAGCCUGAUGCAGCCAUGCCGCGUGUAUGAAGAAGGCCUUCGGGUUGUAAAGUACUUUCAGCGAGGAGGAAGGCGUUGUGGUUAAUAACCGCAACGAUUGACGUUACUCGCAGAAGAAGCACCGGCUAACUCCGUGCCAGCAGCCGCGGAAAUACGGAGGGUGCAAGCGUUAAUCGGAAUUACUGGGCGUAAAGCGCACGCAGGCGGUCUGUCAAGUCGGAUGUGAAAUCCCCGGGCUCAACCUGGGAACUGCAUCCGAAACUGGCAGGCUAGAGUCUUGUAGAGGGGGGUAGAAUUCCAGGUGUAGCGGUGAAAUGCGUAGAGAUCUGGAGGAAUACCGGUGGCGAAGGCGGCCCCCUGGACAAAGACUGACGCUCAGGUGCGAAAGCGUGGGGAGCAAACA
rnacentral:rRNA from 1 species